GGAGGCGGGUCCGAUCCAGCCCCGGCGCGGCCGCAGCAUGUGACCGGCGGGGCGGGGAACGGGGCUGACCCAGCGGCAUGUGCCCGGCUGCCGGGCUCCAGCGGGGCAUUUAAAUGGCAGCGCCCGCCGGGCCUGUAGCAGAGCUCGCGCCUCUCCGCGCCCGGCACCAUGAGAUCCUCGCUGGCUCCCGGGAUCCGCCUCAUCCGGGCUCUGCCCCGGGACAGCUGGUAUCGGGGGCUAACGCUUGUGCUGACAUUCCUGUUUUAUGCCAGUUUCCAUCUCUCUCGCAAACCCAUUAGCAUUGUGAAGAGUGAGCUGCACACCAACUGCUCUUCUCUGAUUCCCCCCAAUGGCACCAACAGCACCACGUGGUGUGACUGGGCUCCCUUUGAUCAGGCUAACUACAAAGAGCUUUUUGGUGCCCUGGACAAUGCCUUCUUGGUUGCCUAUGCCAUUGGAAUGUUUAUCAGCGGCAUCUUUGGUGAGCGCCUCCCACUGCGCUAUUACCUGUCGGGAGGGAUGGUGCUGAGUGGAAUGUUCACUGCCCUGUUUGGCCUGGCCUACUUCUGGGAAAUCCACGUUCUCUGGUACUACAUCAUCAUCCAGAUCUGCAAUGGUUUGGUGCAGACGACUGGCUGGCCAUCCGUGGUGACGUGCGUUGGGAACUGGUUCGGAAAGGGGAAGAGAGGUCUGAUCAUGGGCAUCUGGAAUUCCCAUACCUCUGUAGGAAACAUCCUGGGGUCCCUGAUCGCUGGAGUGUGGGUUUCGUCAGCCUGGGGCCUGUCUUUCAUCGUGCCUGGGAUCAUCAUUGCAAUCAUGGGAAUCGUCUGCUUCUUGUUCCUCGUUGAAUAUCCUGAAGACGUUGAUUGCAGCCCACCUCUACACCAUACGGAAUCCGAGGAAUCCGAGGAGAAAGACCCUGAAGUGACGCUCUCCACUGAUGAUGGGAGCUGUAGCCGAGAGAACACUAUCGAUUCUUCAGAGUAUCCCAAAGAACCAGCUGAGCAGCCAGAAGCCAUCAGCUUCUUAGGAGCCCUCAGGAUACCUGGUGUAGUGGAGUUCUCCUUAUGCCUGCUGUUUGCAAAGCUGGUCAGUUACACUUUCCUCUACUGGCUGCCUCUCUACAUUGUGAAUGUUGCUCACUUCGGCGCUAAGGAGGCUGGGGACCUGUCCACGCUCUUUGAUGUUGGCGGCAUCCUAGGAGGCAUUCUGGCUGGUACCAUAUCGGACUACACUGGCGGCAGUGCCACCACAUGCUGUGUGAUGCUGAUAGUGGCUGCUCCUAUGCUAUUCCUGUACAAUCACAUUGGCCAGAAUGGAAUAGCCAGUUCAACAGCUAUGCUAAUUGUAUGUGGUGCCCUGGUGAAUGGGCCUUAUUCUCUCAUUACGACAGCCGUUUCAGCUGACUUGGGAACUCACGAGUGUCUCAAGGGAAAUGCAAAAGCCCUGUCCACUGUUACAGCCAUAAUUGAUGGGACUGGAUCUAUAGGUGCUGCUCUGGGCCCCCUGCUGGCAGGGCUGAUCUCUCCCACUGGCUGGAACAAUGUCUUCUACAUGCUAAUAACAGCGGAUAUCUUGGCUUGCCUGUUCCUUUCCCGGGUGAUGUAUAAAGAGAUUAAAGGAUGGUGUGGCUGCUACACAAGAAAAAGAGGGUACGUGCUUCUAAAAUCCCAAGUUUGUCGUGUAUUUCUAUGACUGUUCUCAGAUCUCCUGUAACACUGGCAGAGAAGCCUUCACUUCCAGCAAAAUAUGCAGAUUUAAAGAAUUUUGACCUGACUCCCUGUGACCAGAAGCAGCGGAGUGCAGCAGUGACGGGCUUUGCUGGCAGAACCCACCUUUGAUGCUCUCAGUUUAAAGUGAGAGGAAUUAUGGAGGCAAAAUGAACUGGGAAGAUGAGUAGUGCUCUAAAACCCAACCACCACGGACUCUAAUCAUUGGCAGCAGCUUUAUCCAGGGCGAGGGUGCAGAGAAGAUGGUAUAUUCUGGCCCAUGACUGGUUUUGUGAGGUAUAACUGGGGCCUCUGUCUCUUAUCCACUGCCUCUGCUCCUCUUCCAUUAUUCCUUUUAUUAUUAAAAUGGUGCUAAACCUGUGUUGUAGUGGAGCUCCUCUUUGUCCCGGGAGUGGAGGGAAAUGUUCCCAAGGCCGCUGGGCCCCAGGAGCUGCGAGGCUGGCUUCCUUCUGUGCGAUGUGCUACAGCUGGCCCUUGCCUUGUCAAGAUCAGCAGUUCUGUCUGAGCACCAGCUGGUUCUCAAACGACAAUCCUCAGGUUUGAGCCCCACUUCUGGCUUUUC